rnacentral:rRNA from 1 species
AUUGAACGCUGGCGGCAGGCUUAACACAUGCAAGUCGAGCGGAGAUGAGGUGCUUGCACCUUAUCUUAGCGGCGGACGGGUGAGUAAUGCUUAGGAAUCUGCCUAUUAGUGGGGGACAACAUUCCGAAAGGAAUGCUAAUACCGCAUACGCCCUACGGGGGAAAGCAGGGGAGCUUCGGACCUCGCGCUACUAGAUGAGCCUAAGUCGGAUUAGCUAGUUGGUGGGGUAAAGGCCUACCAAGGCGACGAUCUGUAGCGGGUCUGAGAGGAUGAUCCGCCACACUGGGACUGAGACACGGCCCGGACUCCUACGGGAGGCAGCAGUGGGGGAUAUUGGACAAUGGGCGGAAGCCUGAUCCAGCCAUGCCGCGUGUGUGAAGAAGGCCUUUUGGUUGUAAAGCACUUUAAGCGAGGAGGAGGCUACCUGGAUUAAUACUCUAGGAUAGUGGACGUUACUCGCAGAAUAAGCACCGGCUAACUCUGUGCCAGCAGCCGCCGUAACAC